rnacentral:rRNA from 1 species
GAUGAACGCUGGCGGCGUGCCUAAUACAUGCAAGUCGAGCGGACAGACGAUGAUCGUGGGCCUCUGGCGUGGGCGGCGGGCGGGUGAGUAGCGCGUGGUUAGCCUAGCUAUAAGACUGGGGUAACUGCGGGAAGCCGUAGCUAAUACCGGGUAAUAUAUUGAACCGGAUGGUUCGAUAGUUAUAUAGGUUUUGGCUGUGACUUCUAGAUAGCACCGCGCCGCAUGAGCUAUUUGGUAAGGUAACGGCUUACCAAGGCAACGAUGCGUAGCCGACCUGAGAGGGUGAUCGGCCACACUGGAACUGAGACACGGUCCAGACUCCGACGGGAGGCAGCAGUAGGGAAUCUUCCGCAAUGGGCGAAAGCCUGACGGAGCAACGCCGCGUGAGUGAUGAAGGUCUUCGGAUCGUAAAACUCUGUUAUUAGGGAAGAACAAAUGUGUAAGUAACUAUGCACGUCUUGACGGUACCUAAUCAGAAAGCCACGGCUAACUACGUG